CUUACCCGCGAGGCUUUGCGGUGGCUGCUUGGCUUGGCGGUGGUCGCUUGGCUUGGCGUGGCAGUGAUCGCUUGGCUUGGCAUUUCUGGCUUGGCGGUCCUCCUUUCGCAGAUUGGAAACCGCGGGCUAUCCUGCUGGGAGGUUGUGGCCGAGGCAGUAGCUCGCUACUGAUGGCCUCCUGGGGUGGAGAAAAGCGGGGAGGGGCUGAGGGGUCUCCGAAGCUGGCAGUCUACGCCACGAGGAAGACCCGUAGCGUCAGGAGCCAGGAGGACCAGUGGUACUUGGGCUACCCGGGGGACCAGUGGUCUUCGGGCUUCUCCUACAGCUGGUGGAAAAAUAGCGUCGGCAGCGAGAGCAAGCACGGUGAGGGCGCCUUAGACCAGCCCCAGCACGACGUCCGCCUGGAAGAUCUUGGCGAGCUCCACAGAGCUGCCCGGUCGGGCGACGUCCCUGGGGUGGAGCACGUCUUGGCUCCUGGAGACACUGGCGUGGACAAGAGGGAUAGGAAGAAGAGCAUUCAGCAACUAGUUCCUGAAUAUAAGGAAAAACAGACACCUGAAAGUCUUCCUCAAAAUAACAAUCCAGAUUGGCAUCCUACUAAUUUGACCCUUAGUGAUGAGACUUGUCAGAGAUCCAAGAAUCUGAAAGUUGGUGAUAAAAGUCCAUCUGUAUCACCAUCAAUGCCUGAAAAUCAGUCAGCAACCAAAGAACUGGGACAGAUGAACUUAACAGAACGAGAAAAAAUGGACACUGGAGUUGUACUUCUCUCAGGGAAUGAUACUCUCCAUGACCUGUGCCAAUCACAGCUACCAGAAAACAAAGAGAGCAAAGAAGCAGAACAAGACUUGGAGCUGACAUCAGAGGAAGAGCAAGAAAGACUUAAAGGAUGCGAAAAUAAGCAGCCACAGAAAACGUCUCAAGAACCAGAAAUGGCUAAGGAUUGUGAUAGAGAGGAUAUACCUAUAUAUCCAGUACUUCCUCAUGUGCAAAAAUCUGAGGAAAUGUGGAUUGAACAAGGCAAAUUAGAGUGGAAAAACCAAUUAAAACUCGUCAUAAAUGAGUUAAAGCAGAGGUUUGGUGAAAUUUAUGAAAAAUACAAAAUUCCGGCUUGUCCUGAGGAAGAGCCACUACUUGAUAACUCUACAAGAGGAACAGAUGUGAAGGAUAUUCCCUUUAAUUUGACAAAUAACAUACCUGGUUGUGAGGAAGAAGAUGCAUCUGAAAUAUCUGUCUCAGUGGUAUUCGAGACAUUUCCUGAACAAAAAGAACCCAGUCUCAAAAAUAUCAUCCAUCCAUACUAUCAUCCGUACUCUGGGUCCCAGGAACAUGUUUGCCAGUCAUCUUCUAAGCUUCAUUUACAUGAAAAUAAAUUAGACUGCGACAAUGAUAACAAACUAGGCAUUGGACAUAUUUUUAGUACAGAUAACAACUUUCAUAAUGAUGCAAGCACUAAGAAAGCAAGGAACCCAGAAGUGGUUACGGUUGAAAUGAAAGAAGACCAAGAGUUUGAUUUGCAAAUGACAAAAAAUAUGAACCAAAAUAGUGACAGUGGCAGUACAAAUAACUAUAAAAGCCUGAAACCUAAAUUAGAAAAUCUGAGUUCUUUACCACCAGAUUCUGACAGAACAUCAGAAGUAUAUCUACAUGAAGAAUUACAGCAAGACAUGCAAAAGUUUAAGAAUGAGGUCAACACAUUAGAAGAAGAGUUCCUGGCUUUGAAGAAAGAAAAUGUUCAACUUCAUAAAGAGGUUGAAGAAGAAAUGGAGAAGCACAGAAGUAAUAGCACAGAAUUAUCAGGAACCCUAACUGAUGGUACUACUGUUGGCAAUGAUGAUGAUGGACUAAAUCAGCAGAUUCCUAGGAAGGAAAAUGAAGAGCAUGACAGGCCUGCAGAUAAAACAGCUAAUGAAAAGAACAAGGUCAAAAACCAAAUAUAUCCUGAGGCUGACUUUGCUGACUCAAUGGAGCCAUCUGAAAUAGCCUCAGAGGAUUGUGAAUUGUCUCACUCUGUUUAUGAGAAUUUUAUGUUGCUGAUUGAACAACUUAGAAUGGAGUAUAAAGAUUCUGCUAGCCUACCAAGAAUCCAAGACACAUUUUGUUUGUGUGAACACUUACUGAAACUUAAGAAUAAUCACUGUGACCAACUUACAGUAAAACUUAAACAAAUGGAAAAUAUGGUCAGUGUACUACAAAAUGAGCUAUCUGAAACAAAAAAGACAAAAUUACAGUUAGAACUUCAAAAAAUUGAAUGGGAGAAAGAGCUGUACGAUUUGAGACUUGCCUUAAAACAAGAAAAUGGGAGAAAAGAAAUGCCGAUAUGUUGUAUAAUAAAGAUAGUGAACAGUUAAGAAUAAAAGAAGAGGAGUGUGGGAAAGUGGUUGAAACAAAGCAACAACUUAAAUGGAAUCUGAGAAGACUUGUUAAGGAAUUGAGGACAGUAAGAAAUAACUUGGAUCUGGUUGUGCAGGAGAGAAACGAUGCCCAGAAGCAACUUUCUGAAGAACAGGAUGCCAGAAUAUUACAAGAUCAGAUUCUGACAAGUAAACAAAAGGAACUAGAAAUGGCUCAAAAGAAAAUGAAUUCUGAGAUUUCUCAUAGGCAUCAGAAAGAAAAGCAUCUCUUUCAUGAAAAUUGCAUGUUGCAGGAAGAAAUUGCCUUGCUGAGACUGGAAAUAGAUACAAUAAAAAAUCAGAACAAGCAAAAGGAAAAGAAAUAUUUUGAGGACAUUGAGGCUGUGAAAGAAAAGAAUGAUAACCUUCAAAAAAUUAUAAAACUAAAUGAGGAAACAUUAACAGAAACAAUACUCCAGUACAGUGGACAGCUGAACAAUCUGACAGCUGAGAACAAAAUACUCAAUUCUGAACUGGAGAAUGGGAAACAGAACCAAGAAAGACUAGAAAUAGAAAUGGAAUCAUACCGUUGUAGACUGGCUGCUGCUGUACGUGACUGUGAUCAAAGUCAGACAGCAAGAGACCUAAAACUUGAUUUCCAGAGAACAAGACAAGAGUGGGUUCGUUUACAUGACAAAAUGAAGGUUGAUAUGUCUGGCCUACAAGCUAAGAAUGAGAUUCUUUCUGAAAAACUUUCUAAUGCUGAAAGUAAAAUUAACAGCCUACAAAUUCAGCUCCAUAACACAAGAGAUGCUCUUGGAAGAGAGAGUUUGAUUUUGGAACGUGUGCAAAGAGACCUCAGCCAAACACAGUGUCAGAAGAAAGAAACUGAACAAAUGUACCAAAUUGAACAAAGCAAACUGAAGAAAUACAUUGCCAAGCAGGAAUCUGUAGAGGAGAGAUUAUCUCAACUACAAAGUGAAAAUACGUUGCUUCGACAGCAACUGGAUGAUGCUCACAAGAAAGCUAACAGUCAAGAAAAGACAAGCAGUACUAUCCAAGACCAGUUUCAUUCUGCUGCCAAAAAUCUUCAAGCUGAGAGUGAAAAGCAGAUUCUUUCACUACAAGAGAAGAACAAGGAGCUGAUGGAUGAAUAUAAUCAUUUAAAAGAAAGAAUGGAUCAAUGUGAGAAAGAGAAAGCAGGAAGAAAAAUUGACCUUACAGAAGCACAGGAAACUGUACCUUCACGAUGUCUACAUCUGGAUGCAGAGAAUGAAGUUCUUCAACUUCAACAGACAUUAUUCUCUAUGAAAGCAAUACAAAAGCAAUGUGAAACACUACAGAAGAAUAAGAAGCAGCUGAAACAAGAAGUAGUAAACCUCAAAAGUUAUAUGGAAAGAAAUAUGUUAGAACGUGGUGAAGGUGAACGGCAUAAACUGUUGAUUGAAGAAAGAGCAAGGAAGGAGAUACAAGAAAAAUUAAACGAAGCCGUUCUCACCUUGCAGAAACAAGCAGCAGUAUCUCAUGAACAGUUAGCACAGUUAAGGGAGGAUAAUACUACUUCAAUAAAAACUCAGAUGGAACUCACAAUCAAAGAUCUGGAAUCUGAAAUCUCCAGAAUAAAAACUUCGCAAGCCGACUUUAAUAAAACCGAAUUGGAAAGAUAUAAGGAACUCUACCUAGAAGAAGUAAAAGUUAGAGAAUCCUUGUCAAAUGAACUCAGUAGAACUAAUGAGAUGAUAGCAGAGGUCAGUACGCAACUUACUGUGGAGAAAGAGCAGACCAGAUCCAGAUCUCUAUUCACUGCUUAUGCUACAAGGCCAGUCCUAAGUCACCUUGCGUUGGAAAUCUUAAUGAUAGUGAAGGUCUCAACAGAAAACAUAUUCCAAGAAAAAAGAGGUCUGCUCUUAAGGACAUGGAGAGCUACUUGUUGAAGAUGCAGCAGAAGUUGCAAAAUGAUCUAACUGCAGAAGUAGCAGCUGCUACUAAAUAUGAACCUGGAUCCUAUAUAGCUUCUCCUCUAGGAUUUACACACAAGGAAAAUCUGAAUCAAGAUCCAGUUUUGGAAGUAACAAAAGAGUAUGCACAGAUUUUAAGAAGAAAAUACAUACUCUGAAAGAUAAGGCAAUUUUAUUUGGGCUAUUCACAUGAUAUUUUGUUUCCCAUUAAAUAUAUGAUGUGAACAUUUUUACUAAAGGGAAAUAUUCUAUAUUAUACAUGUCUGAUGAAAAUUUAUGUAGUAUUUUAAAUAAUGUUUCUUGGCCUCUUCAGCUAACUUUUAAGUGGAUUUUGCAAAUGAAAACCAGUAUUACUGAGUUUUACAUACUCGAACUGCCCAAAUGUUUGCUGUUUAAACAGCCAAAUAAUCAAGUUGCCAUUAGUAAUUUAGUGGAGCCAAUUGAUGGCUUGUUUGUAUUUUAUAAUUUUAUCUUUAUACAUAGUGAUAGAUUUAAGUUUAGAUAGACAUCAUUUUGGUAUACUGGUACUGUGGUCAUUGUCAAUGUUUGGAUGUAUUACGAUUGUUAUAGUGCAAUCAAACUUAGAUAAUUUUAAUUUUAAGCACUGAUUUAUUUAGAUCUUUCCUUGUGGAAAAAUAAGGUUUGCCUAAGGCUUUUUGCUUUUUUAUUUAUUGUUUCAUUUCUUUAUUAGAUUAACUUUUGGGAAACAGUCUUAAAAUUGGAGAAAAUUUCCACAUUUUAGGAAAAACAGCUUCCCCCCUGUGGGCCAUUUGAGAGUAAAUUGCUGACAUUAUGCCAUCACAUCUGGUAUGUGGGUAUUCCCACAAGUCAGGACAUUUUAUAUAACUACUUCAUAAUCAGAAAGUUAACAUCAAUACACUUGAUCAUUUAAUUCUCAGUUUCUUUUCAAGUUUUCUUAAUUGUCUAUAAUGUUCUUUGUAGCAGAAGGAUCCCAUUCAGGUCCAUGAAUUUCAUUUAGUUGUCAUGACUCUUUCAGUCUGGAACAGUUCCUCAGUUUUUCUUUGACCUUUAUGACCUUAAAUCUUUUGAAGAGUAAAGUCCAAUAAUACAGAAUGUCCCUCCAUUGGAUUUCUCUGAACUUUUUUUAUGAUAAGAUUUAGAUGAUAAUUUUUUUUUUGGCAAGAGUAUCACAGAAGUUAUCCCAUGAUCUUCUCACUGCAUUCUAUCAGGUGACCUGCAAUUAUUAUUAUUUUUUAUUUUCAUCUUUUAAGUUCAGGGGUACAUGUGCAGGAUGUGCAGGAUGUCCAGGUUUGUUACAUAGGUAAAUAUGUGCCAUGGUGGUUUGCUGCACAGAUCAUCCCAUCACCUAGGUAUUAAUAGUAGCCCAGCAUCCAUUAGCUGUUCUUCACGAUGCUCUCCCUUCUCUCACCCGCCACCAUCCCACAUGCCCCUGUGUGUGUUGUUCCCCGCCAUGUGUCCAUGUGUUGUCAUUAUUCAGCUCCCACUUGUAAGUGAGAGCAUGCAGUAUUUCAUUUUCUAUUUCUGUGUUGGUUUGCUGAGGAUAAUGUUCUGCAGCUCCACCCAUGUCCCUGCAAAGGACAUGUCUCAUUCCUUUUCAUGGCUGCAUAGUAUUCCAUGGUGUAUAUGUACCACAUUUUCUUUAUCCAGUUUAUCAUUGAUGGGCUUUUAGGUUGAUUCUUUGUCUUUGCUGUUGUGAAUAGUGCUGCAAUGAACAUACGUGUGUGUGUAUCUUUAUACUAGAAUUAGUUAUAUUCCUUUGGGUAUACACCAAGUAAUGGGAUUGCUGGGUUAAAUGGUAUUUCAGGUUCUAGAUCUUUGAGGAAUCACCACACUGUCUUCCACACUGGUUGAACUAAUUUACACUCCUAUCAACGGUGUAAAAGCAUUCCUGUUUCUCCAUAAUCUUGCCAGCAUCUUUUCAGUUUUUUGAAUUAUAGCCAUUCUGACUGUUGUGAGAUGGUGUCUUGUUGUGGUUUUGAUUUGCAUUUCUCAGAUGAUCAGUGAUGUUGAGGUUUUUUUGUUUGUUGGCUGCAUGUAUGCCUUCUUUUGAAAAGUGUCUGUUUGUGUCCUUUGACCACUUUCUAAUGGGGUUGAGUUUUUUUUUUCUUGUAAAUUUGUUUAAGUUCCUUGUAGAUGCUGGAUAUUAGACCUUUGUCAGAUGGAUAGAGUGCAAAAAUUUUCUCCCAUUCUGUAGGUUGUCGGUUUACUCUGUUGAUAGGUUCUUAAUGCUGUGCAGAAGCUCUUUAGUUUAAUUAGAUCCCAUUUGUCAAUUUUGGCUUUUGUUGCAAUUGCUUUUGGCAUCUUCGUCAUGAAAUCUUUGCCCUUGCCUGUGUCCUGAAUGGCAUUGCCUAGGUUUUCUUUCAGGAUUUUUAUAGUUUUGGGUUGUAGAUUUAAGUCUUUAAUCCAUCUUGAGUUAACUUUUGUAUAUGGGUUAAGGAAGGGGUCCAGUUUCAAUUUGCUGCAUAUGGCUAGCCAGUUCUCCCAGCACCAUUUAUUAAAUAGGGAAUCUUUUCCCCAUUGCUUCCUUUUGUCAGGUUUGUCAAAGAUCACAUGGUUGUAGGUGUGUGGUCUUAUUUCUGGGUUCUCUAUUCUGUUCCAUUGGUCUAUGUGUCGGUUCUUGUACCAGCACCAUGCUGUUUUGGUUACUGUAGUCUUGUAGUAUAUUUUGAAGCUGGGUAGCAUGAUGCCUCUAGCUUUGCUCUUCUUGCUUAGGAUUGUCUUGGCUAUUUGGGCUCUGUUUUGGUUCCAUAUGAAUUUUAAAAUAGCUUUUUCUAGGUCUGUAAAGAAGGUCAAUAGUAGUUUAAUGGGCCUAGCAUUUAAUUUACAGAUUGCUUUGGGCAGUGUGGUCAUUUUCACGAUAUUGAUCCUUCCUGUCUGUGAGCAUAUGUUUUUCCAUUUGUUUGUGUCAUCUCUGAUUUCUUUGAAUAAUGGUUUAUAGUUAUCCUUGAAAAGGUCCUUCACUUUUCUUGUUAGCUGUAUUCCUAGGUAUUAUACUCUUCUUGUGGCAAUUGUGAAUGGGAGUUAAUUCAUGAUUUUUCUCUCGGCUUGCCUGUUGUUGGUGUAUAGGAAUGCUAGUGACUUUUGCACAUUGAUUUUGUAUCCUGAGACUUUGUUGAAGUUGCUUAUCAGCUAAGAGGUUUUUGAGCUGAGAUGAUGGAGUUUUCUAGAUAUAGGAUCAUAUCAUCUGCAAACAAAGAUAGUUUGACUUCCUGUCUUCCUAUUUGAAUAGCUUUUCUUUCUUUCUCUUGCCUGAUUGCCUUGGUGAGAAUUUCUAAUACUGUGUUGAAUAGGAGUGGUGAGAGAGGGCAUCUUUGUCUUGUGUCAGUUUUCAAGGGAACGCUUCCAGGUUUUCAGGUACUCAGGCAACAAAUAGCGCUACGAAUAGAAUAGUACCUCACAUCUCAAUGCUAAUGUUGAACGUAAAUGGCCUAAAUGCUCCACUUAAAAGAUAUAGAAUGGCAGAAUGGGUAAGAAUUCACCAACCAAGUUGCUGCUGUCUUCAGGAGACUCACCUAACACAUACGGACUCACAUAAACUUAAGGCAAAGGGUUGGAAAAAGACACUUCGUCUAAAUGGACACAUCAAAAGCGAGCAGGAGUAGCUGUUCUUAUAUCAGACAAAACGGACUUUAAGACAACAGCAGUUUUAAAAAGACAAAGAGGGACAUUAUAUAAUGAUAAAAGGACUAGUUCAACAGGAAAAUAUCACAGUCCUAAAUAUAUAUGCACCUAAUACUGGAGAUCCCAAAUUUAUAAAACAAUUACUACUAGACAUAAGAAAUGAGGUAGUUGGCAACACAAUAAUAGUGGGGGAUGUUAAUACUCCGCUGGCAGCACUAGGCAGAUCACCAAGACAGAAAGUCAACAAAGAAACAAUGGACUUAAACUAUACCCUAGAACAAAUGGACUUAACAGAUACUUACAGAACAUUCUACCCAACAAGCAUAGAAUAUACAUUGUAUACAUCAGAACACGGGACAUUCUCCAAAAUAGACCAUAUGAUAGGGCACAAAACAAGUCUCAGUAAAUUUAAGAAAAUCAGAAUUAUAUCAAGUACUCUCUCAGACCACAGUGGAAUAAAAUUGGAAAUUAAUUCCGAAAGGAACACUCAAAAGCAUGCAAAUACAUGGUAAUUAAAUAACCUACUCCUGAAUGAUUGUUGGGUCAACAAUGAUAUCAAGAGGGAAAUUUAAAAAUUCUUUGAACUGAACGAUAAUAGUGACACAGCCUAUCAAAAACUCUGGGAUACAGCAAAAGUGGAGGUAAGAAGAAAAUUCAUAGCAUUAAAUGCCUAUAUCAAAAAGUCUGAAAGAGCACAAAUAAACAAUCUAAGGUCACACCUCACAGAAUUGGAGAAACUAGAACAGUCCAAAUCCAAACCCAGCAGAAGAAAAGAAAUAACAAAAUCAGAACAAAACUAAAUGAAA